GCACGGCUGGCGCAAUUGGUAGCGCGUCUGCCUACGGAGUAGGAGGUUCUAGGUUCGAGCCCUGGGUCGUGCG